GGAGAGGUGUCAGAGUGGUCGAAUGAGACGGUCUUGAAAACCGUUAUAUGGGUAACCAUAUCGGGGGUUCGAAUCCCUUCCUCUCCG
rnacentral:tRNA from 1 species